GGAAAUAUUUGAUGCAUUUACAAUAUAACAGAUACAGUAAUCAUCUUUCCUGACGUACAAACUUCUUCAGUUUUCCUAUAUGUCUUACGUAAAAAGUCUAAAAAUGAGAUAAAUAGAAGGAGAAAGUUAUACUGCAAGAAGAAGAGCAAAAUAGGCGGCCAAUAGAGAUUUGGCCUGAUCCUCGACUGCAUUGUCGAUCAACUGAACCUAAAAGCAAUGUAGUGGCUUCUCUUUGAAUUAUUUCAAACUUGAGACAUUCACCCCCAAAAUACUUUUAAGUUCUCAGAUAGAGUUGACUGUGUCACUACUUUCGUUGUCACUGCUGCUGCUUGCACUGUCACUUCCACUUCCGCUCCCG
rnacentral:misc_RNA from 1 species